GAUUGCGUCAGGUCUUGACAGCGCUGGCUGAUGAGUGUCUUCUGGCUGCUGGUGCACGUUUACCGUGGAUUUUUUGAAAGCAACGUGACAUGGUUCUUGUGAAGAUGCAGUGGAAAUACUCAAAAGCCAACUGAUAUUAGGUCACUGGUGCUCAGAGGGCUCCCGAUUCUCCUUGGUGACAACCCCACAGAUUUCUUCAAAGCAUGCUUUGACUCUGAUGAUCAGUCAUUCCGCCACCUUGACCUUGGAAUCCUCCUUGUUGAGCAAGAAGGUAUUGUGUGCCCAUCUUCUCUUCACCUCAAUCCAACCUCAGUUAAGAUCAUCAUUGAGGGAGAAGUCGUGAUGGAAGGCAUUAAAGACUUGCCAAAAGCUGUGUGCAUUCUCUUUGGACUUGCAUAUGCACUGCAUCUCAAUUACCCCAAAUCGAUGAACACAUUCCAAUUCAUUCAACAAGUUCUCCUCAUGUUGGGCCACCGUGACUUAAAACCCAAGUUACAAACAUUAAAAGAUCAACUUACAAUUUGAUUGACAAAGGAGUUGCGGGAAACUACCAUCAGAAGCCAUGGCAGGUUAUUGUUCUCAAGAUGCACAAUGAAUCUUUGAACAGAUUCUCUUGUUCAGAAUGUCCUGUCACUGCAGUAAGUGACCCAAAGUUUAGCUGUGUUCUGUGCUAAAAGUGUUUAAAUCUGCAAAUUGUUGCUAUGUUAGUGAGUUAACGUAGUCAACUCAAGCUUAAACUUUUAGAGGCUUGCCUCAGGUUUUAAUGCUUAUCCAGUUUUAAUGCAAUUCUAGUCAUUCACAUGGAUAUAGCAUAUUGUUGAAUACUGUGUGUUCAUGUUCCUCUAAACAAUUUACAAUUGUUAACAAGCAAAAAUGUUUUCUUAUGCAAAAAAUGUUACUUGUCUUUUGGUUGAAAAGUU